AGAUGGGCUUACUGACCAUUAGCUAGUUGGUGAGAUAAGAGCUCACCAAGGCGAAGAUGGUUAGGGGUUUUGAGAGAGAGAUCCCCCACAUUGGAACUGAGAUACGGUCCAGACUCCUACGGGAGGCAGCAGUAGGGAAUAUUGGGCAAUGGGCGGAAGCCUGACCCAGCCAUGCCGCGUGAAGGAAGACGGCCUUAUGGGUUGUAAACUUCUUUACUAUGCGACUAACUAGAUUUACGAGAUAAUUCUAUAGAAUGUAGCAUAGCAAAAAGCACCGGCUAACUCCGUGCCAGCAGCCGCGGUAAUACGGAGGGUGCGAGCGUUAUUCGGAAUUACUGGGUUUAAAGGGUGCGUAGGCGGCUAAGUAAGUUGUCAUUGAAAGGCUACAGCUCAACUGUAGUAGUGGUGGCGAUACUGCUUAGCUAAGAACAUGGGAGGGGUACUUGGAAUGUGUGGUGUAGCGGUGAAAUGCGUAGAUAUCACACAGAACACCAGAGGCGAAGGCGGAGUACUAGACCAUAGUUGACGCUGAGGCACGAAAGYGUGGGGAUCAAACAGGAUUAGAUACCCUGGUAGUCCACGCCCUACGUCUAUCACUAGAUAUUGGCGACAAACAGUCAGUGUCCAAGCGAAAG
rnacentral:rRNA from 1 species